rnacentral:misc_RNA from 1 species
AAGUCGUAACAAGGUUUCCGUAGGUGAACCUGCGGAAGGAUCAUUACAUUCAGUAGCUUGCUACUGUUAGGGAGGCCGGUUCGGCCUUCUGUCUGUACCCUUGUCUUUUGCGCACUCAUGUUUCCUCGGCUGGGUUUACGCCCGCCGGCUGGACAACUCUAUAACCUUUUUAAUUUUCAAUCAGCGUCUGAAAAACCUAAUAAUUACAACUUUCAACAACGGAUCUCUUGGUUCUG